rnacentral:rRNA from 1 species
CAAUAGCGUAUAUUAAAGUUGUUGCGGUUAAAAAGUUCGUAGUUGGAUUUCUGCUGAGAACGACCGGUCCGCCCUUUGGGUGUGUAUCUGGCUCUUUCUUGGCAUCUUCUUGGUGAACGUUGCUGCACUUGACUGUGUGGAGCGCUACCCAGGACUUUUACUUUGAGGAAAUUAGAGUGUUUCAAGCAGGCAUACGCCUUGAAUACAUUAGCAUGGAAUAAUAAGAUAGGACCUCGGUUCUAUUUUGUUGGUUUUGAGAGCUGGGGCAGCGAUUGAUAGGGACGGAUGGGGGCGUCCGAACUUUACUGUCAGAGGUGAAAUUCUUAGAUCGGUCAAAGGCGAACUACUGCGAACGCAUUCGCCAAGAAUGUUUNCUUUAA